rnacentral:tRNA from 1 species
GGAUUGUGUCUCAGGGGUAGAGUUCUUGCCUAACACGUGCAAAGUCCUGGGUUUGAUCCUCAGCACCA